UCGAGAAUCUUCCGCAAUGGACGCAAGUCUGACGGAGCGACGCCGCGUGUAGGACGAAGGCCCUUGGGUUGUAAACUACUGUCACGGGUUAUGAAUGCGUACGGGUUAAUAGCCUGGGCGUUGACGUAAGCCCGAGAGGAAGCACCGGCUAACUCUGUGCCAGCAGCCGCGGUAAUACAGAGGGUGCUAACGUUGUUCGGAAUUACUGGGCAUAAAGCGCACGUAGGCGGCCAGGUAAGUGUGAAGUGAAAGCCCACGGCUCACCCGUGGAAUUGCUUUGCAUACUGCUUGGCUAGAGGAAGGUAGGGGAGAGCAGAACUCCUGGAGGAGCGGUGAAAUGUGUAGAUAUCAGGAGGAAUACCAGUGGCGAAGGCGGCUCUCUGGUCCUUUUCUGACGCUGAGGUGCGAAAGCUAGGGUAGCGAACGGGAUUAGAUACCCCCGUAGUCC
rnacentral:rRNA from 1 species